UGGGGAAUUUUGCGCAAUGGGGGAAACCCUGACGCAGCAACGCCGCGUGAGUGAUGAAGGCCUUCGUGUCGUAAAGCUCUGUCAGAGGGGAAGAAAUGCAGGGGCGCUAAUAUCGUUCUUGUUUGACGGUACCCUCACAGGAGGCACCGGCUAACUCCGUGCCAGCAGCCGCGGUAAUACGGAGGGUGCGAGCGUUGUUCGGAAUUAUUGGGCGUAAAGCGCGUGUAGGCGGUUUGAUAAGUCUGAUGUGAAAGCUCCGGGCUCAACCUGGGAAGUGCAUUGGAAACUUUCAGACUUGAAUACGGGAGAGGGUAGUGGAAUUCCUAGUGUAGGAGUGAA
rnacentral:rRNA from 1 species